CCCUAUCCCUGGGGUUAUGGAUCAAUAAGGAAUUGGAGAAUGCUGGCCUUCUUCCUAGCCACCCAGAGAAAGUCUGUCUGCUAAGAGAAAAUAAGCCACACAGAAGCAAAGAAGAGCUUUGAACUGUUCAACAGGAUUAGAGAAAAUGGGUCAAUUAAGAGAAUCCAAAUGUUGAGGAGACAGAACCAAUCACUCCAUUUGGAAGUUUUAGUUUUUUGAGCCUCAGGGUGCUCCUUUGUGUGUUCAGUAAGUAGGAAGAUAUACUUCAUUCUAAAUCUGAAUUUAUUUCUGGAAAGAUAAUACGAAACAAAGGUCCUCUGUGAUAGCUGCGUGUGAAGAGAAAUUGCUUAACCAGUACAGUCCAAUAGAACAUUCUGUGAUUAUGGAAAAUUUCUGCAAUCCACACCAUUCAACAGAGUAGCCAGUGGCCAUAUGGAACUACUGAGCACUUGAAGUGUGGUUGAUUAAGGAGUCCUGCAGGGAGGACCAUGAUGGUUACACCUGCUUAAGUCAAAGCUGAUAAUCUUCUCAGCCUUGCAUUGAAGUGGGAGUGAACACUUUUGGGUCUUUUUGAAUCCAAAUACUAUAGUCAUGUGAACAAGCCCCAGGCUAGCUUGCUGGAUGAAGACAGACCAAGUAGACCAGAGGAGCUAAGUCAGCCCAGCUGUCGGGGCAGGCCUCAGAGACAUGAGAGUACAGGAAAUGUCAACAAAGCCAACCAACAGCUGACCCAUGUCUGCCUGCAGGUGCAUGAGGCAGCUAAGCCAAGAACAGAAGGACCACCUGCUGAGCCCAGUCCCAGUUGCCAGGACACAGUAUCAUGAGCUGGAUUAAUGGCAAUGUAUAGUGCCCCAUGGCUGCAUAUCUAUGGGUAAUUUGGUUUCGCUGUGUUCAGGGAGGCUGGCUUAAGAGUAUGCACUUGACAUCUUGCCAGGACGCUGAAUUUUGAAGUGUAUUAGAAGGUAUCUCCAAGGGGAAGUCAACUUUCAAGACUAAAAGUGGCCUGCACUGAGUUCACCAAGUCUCAGCCUUUCGAUUUCCAGGCUCUUCACAUCUCUUAAUGAGGAGUUGCACACCACAACCCAGCUUGGGUGGGCCCCAGAGACGUUUUCCCUGGAGAAGAAAUUGGAGAGAGUUUCAUGCUGACUCUGCAACAGGAUAAGAGAAGGAAUUAGCAUUUAUUGAGCUCCCGCUGUGUGCUCUUCUGCGCCAGAUGCUUUUGCUGAACACCGCAAAAUCUCUGGAAGGUAAAUGAAGAAUUGAAAGCUCUGGAUAAAGAAGCCAAGGGUGGAGCUGGAUUCUGGGGCCAAGUCUGUUCACUCCAAGCUCAAGUUCUUCCUGUGUAUAUCCACUGCAGAAAGAACAGACUUCUUAGUGGCUUAGCUGCCUGUGUGAUAUCUCUUGGGAGAUACAGUGGAAGUGCAAUGGGACAGGACAGGAAACAUUCUUACUAUUUCUGUUCUUAGAUAGACAUAAUCAACUGAUGUUCACAAACUCAAAUGCCUUUGGUGGCUUGGUGAGAUGCGUAAAUGUGAGUGAAGUAUGGUGAAUAGGGAGUUGGGGGGACAGAUCUAUAAUGGAACCAGGGCACAGACGUCCCAUCAGAAGACAUCAGCAUUCACAUUUUUAAAAACAUUGUUGGCCAAACCAAACAUGUCUGUGAACCAGUCAGGACCAAGGACUGCCAUUUCAGGACUGCUAAUUCAGAUGCCCCUCUAAGUGUCAAAGGCAUUGUGUAAUGUUUGAUUUCUUAAUUUUUUUUUAAAGGAGAAUAAAUUUGUUACCUACACAAAUUAAAAACUAUAUAUGCAUACAUGCAGAAAUACACAUGUGUAUGUGUGUAUUAUAUAUUUAUAUAUAUCUUGAGUGGAAGGAAUAUGAUGAGUGUUACAUUAUUAUUUGUACUUUCUCUUCAAAUUCCUUUUACAUGUUAAAAGAAAAUAUAGCAUGUGAGAACUAAAAGCAACCUUAGUGCUUUAAUCUAACUUCCUCAUUUUAUAGAUUAAAAGAACUGAGGUCCAGAGAGAAAGAAUCUUCUCAGUUUCACGUAGCUGCUGGGAGAGCCAGACCUGGGCCCCUGAGUCCUUGUCCAUCAUCCCUUUCACUACAGGCUCAUCCAUGCAGAAGUGUGUGUGCUAGACAGGAGUCAAAACAACAUGAAUGGAUAUAUUUGCAGCAAUGGUUUACACUGCUUUAAGGUCAAGUCUAGGUAGCGUGACUAUGUCCAGUUGGCAGAGGAGGACCAACAGAAUUUGCUUUGAGGCCUCCUGGCUAAGUGCACUGUAUGAGGGAGUAAAGAUGUGAGCCUGGUGUUCUAACACAAAUCCACUUGGCUUGGGUUAUUUAUCUGCUAUGAGAGUCUAAGUGGAGCAACCGUAAGGAGGAUGUCCUUGGUCUGAGAAUGGAGCAGUGGAGUCUUUUCUCUGAAUGGAGCAAGAGGUUCUGAGUGGACAAGUGAAGGGAGAAUUUUCUUUAAACGAAAUUUAAAACCCCACAUCCACUGGGCUGAAAUUUGUUCUGACUCUAGAUG